rnacentral:rRNA from 1 species
AGAGUUUGAUCAUGGCUCAGGAUGAACGCUGGCGGCGUGCUUAACACAUGCAAGUCGAACGAAGAUGCCGGAGUGCUUGCACUUUGGCAGACUGAGUGGCGGACGGGUGAGUAACGCGUGGGUAACCUGCCUUAUACAGGGGGAUAACAGUUGGAAACGACUGCUAAUACCGCAUAAGCGCACGGUAUCGCAUGAUACAGUGUGAAAAACUCCGGUGGUAUAAGAUGGACCCGNGUCUGAUUAGCUUGUUGGUGAGGUAACGGCCCACAAGGCGACGAUCAGUAGCCGGCCUGAGAGGGUGAACGGCCACAUUGGGACUGAGACACGGCCCAAACUCCUACGGGAGCA